UUUCCGUAGGUGAACCUGCGGGAGGAUCAUUG
rnacentral:rRNA from 1 species